rnacentral:rRNA from 1 species
AGUGAACGCUGGCGGUAGGCCUAACACAUGCAAGUCGAACGGCAGCACAGGAGAGCUUGCUCUCUGGGUGGCGAGUGGCGGACGGGUGAGGAAUACAUCGGAAUCUACUCUGUCGUGGGGGAUAACGUAGGGAAACUUACGCUGAUACCGCAUACGACCUACGGGUGUAAGCAGGGGACCUUCGGGCCUUGCGCGAUUGAAUGAGCCGAUGUCGGAUUAGCUAGUUGGCGGGGUAAAGGCCCACCAAGGCGACGAUCCGUAGCUGGUCUGAGAGGAUGAUCAGCCACACUGGAACUGAGACACGGUCCAGACUCCUACGGGAGGCAGCAGUGGGGAAUAUUGGACAAUGGGCGCAAGCCUGAUCCAGCCAUACCGCGUGGGUGAAGGAGGCCUUCGGGUUGUAAAGCCCUUUUGUUGGGAAAGAAAUCCAGCUGGCUAAUACCCGGUUGGGAUGACGGUACCCAAAGAAUAAGCACCGGCUAACUUCGUGCCAGCCGCCGCCGUAA